GCCCCGGGGAGGAGCCUGCGCCCGCCCGGAAACCUGCACCGGAGGAGAAGUGUGGGGAAAGCCCGGGGGCACGGGACGGGGCUUUACAACGCUUGACCCGAUGCGAUGCCACACCAGCGAGCAAGUUCUCUGCGUCACCCAUGUCCCUGGAGAACAUCUGUCCAAACUUCCUUGGAUGCUUUCUUUAAGAAAGCAGACAGGACUCCAGAAAAACCCACAGCCAGGACUCCUGAGAAGACUCCAGCCAAAAGCCCUCCAAAAAGUCCAGCAACGUCACUUCAAAGAAGUCCUUCCAAAUCAAUAUGAUUGCUAUUUACAAUAUAGAUAUAUUCAUGUAGCUAUAUUACUCAUCUAUAAUUAAUUGAGUACAAAAUUCUGGGGUAUUUUUGGUAAAAAUAGGAUAUCAGGCCUCAGUUCAGGAACCAAUCCCUCAUUUAUUACAUUGUUUCUUAUGAGAAAAUUGGCUCCGAGUUACAACAUUUAAGACCAAGGACUGCCUGUAUUACUGCUGUUAUUGUUAUUACUAUCACUAUUAUUGCUAGUAUUAUUACUGCUGCUAUUGUACUUACUAUUAUUACUGCUGUUGUUAUUACUGUUAUUACUGCGGUUGUUCUUGUUUUUACUAUAAUUACUGGUGUUGUCAUUACUGUUACUAUUAUUACUGUGGUUGUUCUUGUUAUUGUUCUUAUAGCUACUCCUCGCUUAAUGUCGUAGUAACGUUCUUGAAAAAUGUAACUUUAAGCAAAACGAUGUUAAGCAAAUCCAGUUACAACACAGUAGUUACCUACUAGCAGGCAGCGGCCAAACAACAUUAUAACUGAAUACUGCAAGACUUUAAAAGAGUAUGUUCUCUAAUAGAUUGGCAAUGAAAUAAUGUUAACCGGGAUGACAUUAAGUGAGGAGUACUGUACUAUUGUUGUUGUGCUAGAUCAAGGAUAUCACAAUUAGUCCCCAUUUCCUAAAUCAUCAGGGCCAACCUUUUUUGGCAGGUAUGCCACAAAUUAGCCCCACACCUUCACCCUGUCUCCUUCUCCUGCCUGAUCUGCUGCUCUGCUCCCUACCCAAUCUGCCACGGUGGUGCCUGUGCCCUCCCUGGUCAGCCAUGAGCCACAGACAAAGGUUGCCUGUGACACUCAUGGCAUGCAUGCCACAGGUUGGCCAACCCGGGGUCUAAAUGAUAGUAUUAUCUCUUAACCUAAAAAGAAGUGAGUGUUAUUUGGACUAAAAAAUAUGCUUUGCUUCCAGCAGUGGUAGCAGAGAGACCAACAAUUGCAUCACACAUCUGUAACACUGCAGUUCUCGUUCCCCUCAGGCCUGCCUGCAUACUUCCCAUCAGCUCUAAGUGACUGUAAGGCACUAUACUCUUAUCUGGUAUUUUUAACAUCCGCUUUGCACCAGUAUAAUUUUAUGACAACUGAAAAACCUUCAUUGGGAACUUCACCUUCCUUACAGGUUUGUACAUUUCUCUUCAUCUUCUAUGAGAUGGAAAAGUAUUAAUUAAGGGCUUGUUUAGACCUGAGCUCAAGUGGUGUAAGUGGAUAAUGUAGACCAGGAGUGGCCAACCCGUGGCAUGAGUGUCACAAGUGGCACCAGCAGCCUCUGUUUGUGGCUUGCGGCAGGUCAGGAAGCAGAGUGCGCGCCUACCAAAGGGGUUGUCCCCACUGAUACAGACACACCACGUCAGUGCAAAACAGGGCCUGUUCCACGCACAUGCCCCGGAGCCACAGGUUGGCCACCCCUGCUCUAGGGGUUUGCUGUAACCAUACCACUCUAAAAAUUAUUCUAGUCUACAUUAGGAAUAAAACUUCAAUCCUACAAAUACACAAAGGAGUAAUCCCACUCAUCCCUGAAUUUACAGGUGGUUCUGGAGAGGCAAAUGCUCAUACAGGUGCAGGAUGUUGUGCGUUAUCUACAGGAUCAGAGACAAGGAGUUUAUUCAGUACUCAUAGAAAACCAUAGAGUGAUGGAAAAUAGGGCAAAAAGGAACCUAGUCCUUUCCCCAAGAUGGAAUCAACCAUCCUGGAGAGAGAUUUGUCUAACCUGAGGCUGUCCAGCUUCUAAGCAACUGAGGGCUGUACAUGCUGCGCACCCAGCAGCUGCACUAAUGUAUGUGGGAACACCGCUUGGCUGCACUGUGUGUGCCCUCUACUUCAGCUAGGGAGCUGUACCACGCUGCAGACUCCCCUGGCCCCGUGGGCUGCACUGCUGCAUGCCCUGCGACGGGAGCAGGAAGCAAAAGCAGGAAGGAAAAGGGAGGGCAAGGGAGCCGAGAGACCCUGGUGUCAGCAGCAGCCAGAGCAAUAGAUGGAGUCACGAGGUGGGAACAUGGGGACCACACAGUAACCUCUCCCAGGUUUCAUGUGGCCUGUGGGCUGUCAGUUGGACAGCCUGGGUCUAACCAAUUCUCCAUGGUCUCCAGCAAAGGAAAUAUGAAAGAGAUUCCACAGCCCCCCAAGAUAAUAUGGUCCCAUCCUUGACUCUCUUUAGAAUAGGAGAGAUAAGAAUUAUAACUAGGAGAGUUCGAAUUAGAAAGUUGUGCUCCCUCCUUCCCCUGCAAUGUGUAACCUGCAUCUCUCUCUCCCUCUCAUAGUAAAUUAAAUCCAUUGUAACUUGUCCUAUUCUCAAUGAACACAGAAAACAAAUUUACUCCCUCUUUUUUUUCCUUUUAGCAACCUUUGACCUGUUUGAAGACUACUAUCAAGUCUCAUCUCAAGUCUUCUGUCUUUAAUACUUAUUAAAUAAGCCCAGUUCAUUCACUCA